rnacentral:misc_RNA from 1 species
GGAGUAGGCCUGUUCUUAUCAUAAUCAACAACACGAUUUUCAUCAAGAGAAGAUGGACUGGACCCAGAAGAAUCAAGCUUCUCACAAGCAGCUAAAAGCUCAUCAAUAGACAAAUUAUGAUUCAGACGUUGGGCGAUUCUAAUAAAUUUCAAUGCUCGGUCUUUGUUUCCUGAGGCAAUUGCUUCUUCAGCAAUUCGAACACAUCUCAAAGCUUCAUCUUUGUUACCAUCCAUAGUUUUUCUACCCCAACUUUUUUUCUG